UACAGAGGGGGCAAGCGUUGUCCGGAAUUACUGGGCGUAAAGGGCGCGUAGGCGGCUUUCUAAGUCGAACGUGAAAUCCCCGGGCUCAACCCGGGAACUGCGUCCGAUACUGGAAGGCUUGAAUCCGGGAGAGGGAUGCGGAAUUCCAGGUGUAGCGGUGAAAUGCGUAGAUAUCUGGAGGAACACCGGUGGCGAAGGCGGCAUCCUGGACCGGCAUUGACGCUGAGGCGCGAAAGCCAGGGGAGCAAACAGG
rnacentral:rRNA from 1 species